rnacentral:misc_RNA from 1 species
GAUGAAGAACGAAGCGAAAUGCGAUAAGUAGUGUGAAUUGCAGAAUUCAGUGAAUCAUCGAAUCUUUGAACGCACAUUGCGCCCCUUGGUAUUCCAUGGGGCAUGCCUGUUCGAGCGUCAUUUGUACCUUCAAGCUCUGCUUGGUGUUGGGUGUUUGUCUCGCCUCUGCGUGUAGACUCGCCUCAAAAUAAUUGGCAGCCGGCGUAUUGAUUUCGGAGCGCAGUACAUCUCGCGCUUUGCACUCAUAACGACGACGUCCAAAAGUACAUUUUUACACUCUUGACCUCGGAUCAGGUAGGGAUACCCGCUGAACUUAAGCAUAUCAAUAAGCGGAGGA